rnacentral:rRNA from 1 species
AGAGUUUGAUCAUGGCUCAGGAUGAACGCUGGCGGCGUGGAUAAGGCAUGCAAGUCGAGCGGCCCGCAAGGGCAGCGGCAGACGAGGUAGUAACACGUAGGAACUCACCCCAAAGUCGGGUAUAGCUCGCCGAAAGGGGGGUAAUCCCCGAUGUGACGGUAACGUUAAAGAAGCAAUUCGCUUUGGGAGAGGCCUGCGUAGUAUCAGCUAGUUGGUAAGGUAAUGGCUUACCAAGGCUAUGACGCUUAGGGGGGGUGAGAGCCCGAUCCCCACCGAGGGAACUGAGAAACGGUCCCUACCUCUACGGAGGGCUGCAGCCGAGAAUAUUCCGCAAUGGGCGAAAGCCUGACGGAGCGACGCCGCGUGGUUGAUGACGCCCUUCGGGGUGUAAAGACCUUUUAUGAGGGAGGAAGUUAUUGACGGUACCUCAUGAAUAAGGGGCUCCCAACUCUGUGCCAGCAGGAGCGGUAAUACAGAGGCCCCAAGCGUUAUCCGGAAUCACUGGGCGUAAAGGGUGCGUAGGUGGCGAUAUUAGUCUUCUGUUAAAUCUCCGGGCUUAACCCGGAACCUGCAGAGGAAACGGUAUUGCUAGAGGGUGUGAGAGGUGUACGGAACUCAUGGUGUAGGGGUGAAAUCCGUUGAUAUCAUGGGGAACACCGAAUGCGAAGGCAGUACACUGGCACAUUCCUGACACUGAGGCACGAAAGCGUGGGAAUCGAACGGGAUUAGAUACCCCAGUAGUCC